GAUGAACGCUGGCGGCGUGCUUAACACAUGCAAGUCGAACGGAAAGGCCCAAGCUUGCUUGGGUACUCGAGUGGCGAACGGGUGAGUAACACGUGGGUGAUCUGCCCUGCACUUCGGGAUAAGCCUGGGAAACUGGGUCUAAUACCGGAUAGGACCACUUCUUGGAUGUUGUGGUGGAAAGUUUUUUCGGUGUGGGAUGAGCUCGCGGCCUAUCAGCUUGUUGGUGGGGUAAUGGCCUACCAAGGCGUCGACGGGUAGCCGGCCUGAGAGGGUGUACGGCCACAUUGGGACUGAGAUACGGCCCAGACUCCUACGGGAGGCAGAAGUGGGGAAUAUUGCACAAUGGGCGCAAGCCUGAUGCAGCGACGCCGCGGGGGGGAUGACGGCCUUCGGGUUGUAAACUCCUUUCGCUAGGGACGAAGCGUUUUGUGACGGUACCUGGAGAAGAAGCACCGGCUAACUACGUG
rnacentral:rRNA from 1 species